GUUAUAUGGUCAAGCGAUUAAGCGCACACGGUGGAUGCCUUGGCAGCCAGAGGCGAUGAAGGACGUUGUAGCCUGCGAAAAGGCUCGGUGAGGUGGCAAACAACCUGUGACCCGGGCAUGUCCGAAUGGGGAAACCCACCCAGCAUAAGCUGGGUAUCCCACACUGAAUCCAUAGGUGUUGGGAAGCGAACCGGGGGAACUGAAACAUCUAAGUACCCCGAGGAAAAGAAAUCAACCGAGAUUCCCCCAGUAGCGGCGAGCGAACGGGGAGUAGCCCUUAAGCAG
rnacentral:rRNA from 1 species